AACGUACGCUGGCGGCACGCCUAACACAUGCAAGUCGAACGCAGUAGCAAUACUGAGUGGCAAACGGGUGAGUAUAAUGUGGGAAUCUGCCUUUUGGUUUGGAAUAACACGAGGAAACUUGUGCUAAUACCGGAUAAGCCUUCACAGGGAAAGUUUUAACGCCGAAAGAUGAGCCCGCACUUGAUUAGCUAGUUGGUAAGGUAAAAGCUUACCAAGGCAACGAUCAAUAGCUGUUCUUAGAGGAAGACCAGCCACAUUGGGACUGAGACACGGCCCAAACUCCUACGGGAGGCAGCAGUGGGGAAUCUUGCACAAUGGGGGAAACCCUGAUGCAGCGAUGCCGCGUGAGUGAAGAAGGCCCUUGGGUUGUAAAACUCUUUCGUCGGGGAAGAAAAUGACUGUACCCGAAUAAGAAGGUCCGGCUAACUUCGUG
rnacentral:rRNA from 1 species